rnacentral:lncRNA from 1 species
UCCCACUGCUCGCUCUGGUGGAAUGAUAUUCCCAUCACAACUCCUGCUGUAAUCACUUUCACUAAUCUUGCUCUCUCUCCUUCCCACAUAGAUUCUCCAGAUCAUUACACAGGUUAGCUCUCCCCCUGCUCACCCACCAGUCACAGGAUUCAAACAAUGAGCUUCAAAUUAUGCUGAGAAUAAAUGGAGGUAAACAGCAAACCCAAGGAGACAAAUAAGACGAACACCUUGAAGAAGAACCAGGGGGAAGGUCCGUAGUCAACAUCCAGCUUCUCCAAAAGUUGUCUUCUUCUCUCAGGAGCAUCUUGCCUGUUUGCAGGUAGAUUCACCAUUUGGAGGAACACCGCUGUCAUGGAAGGUCAUGGUUGGAGAAGGGGAAGGGGGUCUCACAGUUCAUAUAAUAUUCUCAAUAUGGAUGUUAUUCUGCAGUCUUCAUUCAGGCAAAAUCAUCCCGAAGCAAUGAAUAUCAACACAAUGAUAGCUGCUGAAACUGAAACAAGUAUCUAAAGGUGAUGGAACACAAUCUGAUGUCUGUGGAUAGAGAGGGAGGCAGGGAGACAUACCUCUGGUCAUCUUCAUGCUAGAGUGGUAGGAAAGCAUCAGCUUAGUCUGCUUCUUUACAUGGCUUUGGAAGAUGAGGAAGACUGCUGAGUGAGAGCAGAGAUGAGAAAUUUUCUUCCCUUCUUUUGCCUUGAGAGUUACAACUCUGGGCAGCUGGCAAGCAGCUGAGUAGUGUCCCUUCACAAUUAGCCCAUCAGGCAUGGUAAGUAUCUA